rnacentral:rRNA from 1 species
UACCAGCACCCCGAGUGGUCGGGACGAUUAUUGGGCCUAAAGCAUCCGUAGCCGGUUCUACAAGUCUUCCGUUAAAUCCACCUGCUUAACAGAUGGGCUGCGGAGGAUACUAUAGAGCUAGGAGGCGGGAGAGGCAAGCGGUACUUAGUGGGUAGGGGUAAAAUCCGUUGAUCCAUUGAAGACCACCAAUGGCGAAGGCAGCUCGCUGGAACGGAACUGACGCUGAGGCGCGAAAGCGUGGGGAGCGAACAGG